rnacentral:lncRNA from 1 species
UCUGGAGUUGCUUCUGUUGGCCGUCAAUUUCCUAUGGUGCAGAGGGGCUACGAAUAUAAUACAGAUUAAACUCCCUGCAGGAAGUCUUUUAUGGAUAAGAACAAGUUCAGUUCCCAUUGGGGAUGACAGAGCUGGUGCUCAGGUAAUCAACAUCCUGCUGAGCCUAUGAGAAAGCAUUUGGGACAACUUGACAAUGCAUGCCAUGAGGAGGUUAUGCUGUACAUUCUUCAGACAGAGAAGAGAAG